ACAGGAGCCCCAGCCCCACACAGCAACCACCCGGGCGAGAAAGAAAGAAAGAGCCAGGGAGGCGGGCGAAGCGCGGGGAGAGAAGCAGAGAAGAAAUAUUCACCUUCCCGCCUCAUGCCCACUUUGAGGCACUUCUUGAGGCGGCAGUAUUGGCACUGGUUGCGGUGGUGCUGGUCGAUGGGACAGUUCCUGUUGGCACGGCAUGUCAGGUAGAUGAAACUCAAGAGAAAAGGUGUGGAUAAAUGAAACUAGCCCAUGAUGAACCUGUUUUCUCCGUGACCACAAUAUUAACCAGGAUGAAUGGCGGUGGCAGUGGGCCUGCAUCACAGGUUGCAGCAGAUGUUCUCAAUAUUUCUAUUAAAAUUUCCUUAUUUCCAUAUGCAAGAGGAGCCCCAGAGCUGCAUCCUUAUGGUAGCUACCAUGCCGUGAUGUAAGCUGCCAUUCACUGGGGAGCUUUGGCAAUAGAAUUGGCUAGAUCAGGAAGCCUAUGUCAACUAUGGAACAACAACUUGCAGCUCAUCUCUAUUGAUGGUGAAACAGUCGCAAAUGGAAUUCCAAGAAACAUUCUAUCAUCAGGUAUUAUCUACUGCUGUCUGCAGAAUUCAGACAUGGAGGGCUCAAUGGUGUCCCCUGGUCUUUGGAACAUUCUGUAUUUUAAUGAUCAUGAUACACUGCCUCUAGGACUGGGACAGAUAGCCACUGAGUACCUGCUUCAAAUCACCCUGCACGUUUUCUCUUUGGAAAGAUAAGCACUGGAGAACCAUCUCGUUACCUUCAGCAGAAAUGGAAACAAAUCAAGACAUUAAGAAUGCCGCAGUGGACAGCAGUUAUGCAAGGUUCAGCAGAGGAAGUUUUCAAGAUGGUGUGCCUCACUAGCCAGAAAUCAGAAAAGAUCGAAGCUAGCCUUUUCAUCUCAGCUGCUCCUUAAAUCAGUGCAACCCCUCCAAAUUAAUGUGAAUUGAAACUUGCAUUGCUUUUCAACUUAAUUGAAUACUUACUAUAUGUGAACCACUGCACAAAAUAGGGGAAGAAGAUGUGGGAGACAAAGAUGUGGAGCCUGUCUUCAAUAAAUUUACAGUUAGUUUCAGGGUACAUUGUUUUUCUUCUGCUGUUAAUUAGGUGUAUCCCCAAGACAAUAAAUACAUGAAUGGAAAAGUAUAUUCUGUGUUUUAAGUCUCUUUAAUAAAAAACAAAACAAAAUCCAAAAAAACUCCUAACAUGGCAACUCAGGACAUUUUAAUCCUUUUUUUUGUUGUUGGGCUUCUGAUAGGAUCCAUUUUAUUGAUUCCAUAAAUAUUUAGUAGACUUUAGACAUAUUAAUACAUUGUAGUUUGAGUUAAUUUGCAUUAAAUUCUGUUUUUUUCCCCUUAGGUAUAGAUUGUCUGUUGGAAAAAUAUAUUGCUUGUGGAUUUCUUGGGGAGUGGGAAGGUGAAUUAUACCUGUUGUCUCUACAGUCCACUACCUUCCACACCCUAGGGCAGUGGUCCCCAACCUUCUUGGCACCAGGGAUCAGUUUCCUGGAAGACAAUUUUUCUGUGGAUGGUGUGGGGAUGGUUUUGGGAUGGAACUGUUCCACCUCAGAUCAUCAGGCAUUAGUUAGGCUCUCAUAACGAGUGCGCAGCCUAGAUCCCUCACAUGCACAGUUCACAGUAGGGUUUGCGCUGCUAUGAGAAUCUAAGGCUGCCACUGAUCUGACAGGAGGCAGAACUCAGGUGGCAAUGCUUACUGGCCCACUGCUCACCUCUUGCUGUGCGGCCUGGUUCCUAAUAGGCCAUGGACCCCCACAGACGGGUACUAGUCUGCAGCCUGUGGACCCCAGCCCUAGGGGCCUGCCAUUCUGAGUGAGUUAUUAGCAUGAAGAAGAGGAAGAUCUGGAUCAAACGUGGGUGAUGGUACUCAGAGACCCAAGAUAGGAUAGGGAUGGAACAAAAUCCAUCUGGGCAACGGCUCUAUGAAAAUUUGGCUAAGUAAUUAUUUCAGUAUUCAUUGUAUUCAUUGUCCUUCGUGUUCCAUAAGUUAAAUGACUGUCUAAUUUUUCCAAAAAUUUAUUUCUGACUUGAGAAUAAGUGUGUCAUGAUUUUCCCAGUGUAAAGACACUGAUAUAACUGUAGAUACCAGACAUUUUAUGUAGUGUCUAUGACACAUUUUAGUAUGUAUGAGCCAACAAUAGACAUGUCUUUGUCUUGAGGAGUGUCCAUCUGAAUUGAAAAUGUGUCAGCUUUUUUUUAACAUCAUCAACAGACUUCUUAAUUAAGCUGCCAAUACAUACUGCCAAUAGCACUGUGUGCUGUCUGAGAAAUGCAUUGUGUAAGUGCUAUUUCCAUCUUAUUAAAUAAACAAUGUUGCUCUGUAUAAACUGGAUUUAAAGUGUUCUUUGAAUGAGGCAUUAUAUUGCUCCAUAAAUAAUGUGAUGUGAAUUCUCAUAUGAUCCCUUUUAACUUAAUUUCUAAAAAAAUAUUAUUUGCUCCUCAGUAAGGAAUAGCUCUAAUUGGACUGGUAACUUUAGUGAUAUGAUUUGUCUGUAACAGGCUGAAUCGCCCCACUCCCAAACUCCUGGUCGUGAUACUGGAUAUUUGUUAUGCCACUUUUAGUUUGCAUGAGGUAUCUUCCAGGAAGUAUUAGUUAUUAACUUGUGUUCUACUAAACUGUAGAUAUUUAUUUCCUGUUCUGGAAGAUUUCUUGGAGUGUCCAUCUGUGCAUUCCUGGUGCCUAGUGUAGUCUUGCUAAUGGAAUAGCACCUUUAUUGGUGCUACUUAGGGGUUGGUAGCUUACAAUCAAUCUACUUGGAACGUAUCCAAAUAAACUGGAUAUUUUUAUACA
rnacentral:lncRNA from 1 species